UCUUAAAACAAAAAAAAUGUCUUUAAAGUGCCCGAGGUGCCUAAGAAACCUGUUCCUGAAGAGAAAGUUCCUGUUCCUAAAAAGGUGCCAGCUCUACCAGCUAAAGUACCAAAGGUGCCUAAGAAAAUUGUUCCUGAAGAGAAGGUACCUGUUGCCCAGCCUGAAAAAGUGGACGUUCCAACUGCAAAAGUUCCUGAGGUGCCAAAAAGGCCUGUUGCAGAAGAGAAAGUGCCACCUGCUGUCCCUAAACCCAAAGAACCUCCACCAACUAAAGUGCCUGAAGUACCCAAGAAACUUGUCCGCAAAGAAAGAGUCCCUGCUCCUGCUCCUGCUCCUGCUCCUGCUCCUGUUCCUGCUCCUGCGGUGGAGAAAUAUGAGUAUAUAUAUGAGGAGUACGAGAAAUAUGAGACAUAUGACAGUACUGAAGACUUUGAGCAGGUUCAGGAAACUGAAGAAAUUGAGGCAUAUGAGGAAGCUGAAGAACCUGAGAGAUAUGAGGAAGUUCAGGAACAAGAAGAAUAUGAAGAGGAAGUUGAAGAAAGGGAAGCUAUCUAUGAAAAGUAUGAAUUUAAGGAGCAGGAAGAGAUCUAUGAGAAGCCUGAGGAGGUGUAUG
rnacentral:lncRNA from 1 species